rnacentral:tRNA from 1 species
UGUAGCGUAGAGGUAGAGCGACUGACUUGCAAUCAGAAGGUGACGGGUUCAAUUCCCGUUA